UACAGAGGGUGCGAGCGUUGUCCGGAAUCACUGGGCGUAAAGGGCGCGUAGGCGGCUUGAUAAGGUUGCGGUGAAAGCCCGGGGCUCAACCCCGGGUCGGCCGUGGCAACUGUCGAGCUGGAGCACUGUAGAGGCAGGUGGAAUUCCGGGUGUAGCGGUGGAAUGCGUAGAGAUCCGGAAGAACACCGGUGGCGAAGGCGGCAUCCUGGACCGGCAUUGACGCUGAGGCGCGAAAGCCAGGGGAGCAACGG
rnacentral:rRNA from 1 species